AUCAAUGUUAUCAAUAUACCAUAGACAGUAACGGCAUAAGCUUAAUCAUGUUACCGAGGUUAGAGAUACGAAUAUAAACGUACUUUACACUCGUAUGCUGUCUAUUAGUAUGCGAGUGUUUUUAUACUCUU
rfam:Eubacterium dolichum DSM 3991 E_dolichum-3.0.1_Cont629, whole genome shotgun sequence.